rnacentral:rRNA from 1 species
ACUCCUACGGGAGGCAGCAGUGAAGAAUCUUCCGCAAUGGACGAAAGUCUGACGGAGCAACACCGCGUGGAGGACGACGGCCUUCGGGUUGUAAACUCCUUUUCUGAGGGAACAAGUAUGAGGGUACCUCAGGAAUAAGGCGCUGCUAACUACGUGCCAGCAGCAGCGGUAAUACGUAGGCGCCAAGCGUUAUCCGGAAUUACUGGGCGUAAAGAGUCUGUAGGCGGCGGAUAAAGUCGAGUGUUAAAUUUUCAUGCUCAACGUGAAAAAUGUACUCGAAACUUAUUUGCUUAGAGUCUGAGAGAGGCUACUGGAAUUCCCAUUGAAGGAGUAAAAUCCGUAGAUAAUGGGAGGAACACCAAAAGCGAAGGCAGGUAGCUGGAUCAGGACUGACGCUGAGAGACGAAAGCGUGGGUAGCGAACAGGAUUAGAUACCCUGGUAGUCCACGCCGUAAACGAUGAGUGCUAGGCGUUGGAGAGUCAUUUCGACCCUUUCCAGUGUCUAAAGUUAACACGUUAAGCACUCCGCCUGGGGAGUACGAGCGCAAGCUUAAAACUCAAAGGAAUAGACGGGGGCCCGCACAAGCGGUGGAGCAUGUGGUUUAAUUCGACAAUAAGCGAGGAACCUCACCUGGGCUUGACAUCUCAAGAAUCCUCUGGAAACAGAGGAGUGCCCGCAAGGGAAUUUGAUGACAGGCGCUGCAUGGUUGUCGUCAGCUCGUGCCCAGAGGUGUUCGGUUAAGUCCGUAAACGAGCGCAACCCUUAUCGUAUGUUGUAUUUUUCAUACGAGACUGCCGGUUUUACACCGGAGGAAGGUGGGGAUGACGUCAAAUCAGCAUGGCCCUUAUGUCCAGGGCGACACACGUGCUACAAUGGGGAGUACAAUGGGUAGCCAAGGCGCAAGCCGGAGCUAAUCCUCAAAACUCCUCUCAGUUCGGAUUGAGGGCUGCAAUUCGCCCUCAUGAAGUUGGAAUCGCUAGUAACCGCAGAUCAGCCACGCUGCGGUGAAUAUGUUCCCGGGCCUUGUACUCACCGCCCGUCACGUCAUGGAAGAUGGGAGCACUUGAAGCACC